rnacentral:rRNA from 1 species
AUACGUAGGGGGCGAGCGUUGUCCGGAAUUAUUGGGCGUAAAGGGUUCGUAGGCGGUUAUUUAAGUCAGGUGUGAAAGGCAUAGGCUCAACCUGUGUAAGCACUUGAAACUGAAUGACUUGAGUUAAGGAGAGGAGAGUGGAAUUCCUAGUGUAGCGGUGAAAUGCGUAGAUAUUAGGAGGAACACCAGUUGCGAAGGCGGCUCUCUGGACUGUAACUGACACUGAGGCACGAAAGCGUGGGGAGC